UAAAAGCUGGCAGAAGAGUGUUGCCCAUGUGGCAGCCGCCGAAGGCGCAAUUCCGCCCGGAAACGCUCAGGCAAAAGGACUGGCAGUGCUAU
rnacentral:ncRNA from 2 species